AGUCCAUUCGUCUAAAGGUGAGGACGACAGUUUCUCAAGCUGUAAAUCGGGGUUCGAUCCCCCGAUGGACUA
rnacentral:tRNA from 1 species